CACGGUGAAAUGUCAUUCAAUUUUUCAAAAUGCAGCGUUUUGGUGUUCUCGUGGUGAAAUAAAACAAGAAAUUGAAAACUUGACACCAGAAUGUAGAAGAAAAAACUUAUAGGGUUGCGAUAUGGCCUGUAUACAGGGUCAGUCUUUGACUUCUACAUAUAUUUCAAUCAAAGAUUUCUGAGCGUGCAUUCUGGAGUUGACUGGACUUUGAUGGAAAUUUAUGUUCGGACAAGAUUCAUCCUAUCAAUAAUUCCAUUUGCGAGAAAUAACCAAAAAUUACAUGUUUUAUGGAUUUUCAACAGCCUCUAUCUUUUCAACCGAGCCGAAUCGGAAAAAAUACAUCUUAAUAAAUCACAUCUUAUAUAAAAUUUGUAUGAUAGAUUUGUGCCUUGAGGACAGGGCAAAUCAAAUAAAUUCUUGUUGAAU